rnacentral:rRNA from 2 species
UCAAUCAUAAAAGGUGGCUUUUAGCUACCACUUACAGAUGGACCCGCGGCGCAUUAGCUAGUUGGUGAGGUAACGGCUCACCAAGGCGACGAUGCGUAGCCGACCUGAGAGGGUGAUCGGCCACACUGGGACUGAGACACGGCCCAGACUCCUACGGGAGGCAGCAGUAGGGAAUCUUCCGCAAUGGACGAAAGUCUGACGGAGCAACGCCGCGUGAGUGAUGAAGGUUUUCGGAUCGUAAAACUCUGUUGUUAGGGAAGAACAAGUACCGUUCGAAUAGGGCGGUACCUUGACGGUACCUAACCAGAAAGCCACGGCUAACUACGUGCCAGCAGCCGCGGUAAUACGUAGGUGGCAAGCGUUGUCCGGAAUUAUUGGGCGUAAAGCGCGCGCAGGCGGUUUCUUAAGUCUGAUGUGAAAGCCCCCGGCUCAACCGGGGAGGGUCAUUGGAAACUGGGGAACUUGAGUGCAGAAGAGGAGAGUGGAAUUCCACGUGUAGCGGUGAAAUGCGUAGAGAUGUGGAGGAACACCAGUGGCGAAGGCGACUCUCUGGUCUGUAACUGACGCUGAGGCGCGAAAGCGUGGGGAGCGAACAGGAUUAGAUACCCUGGUAGUCCACGCCGUAAACGAUGAGUGCUAAGUGUUAGAGGGUUUCCGCCCUUUAGUGCUGCAGCAAACGCAUUAAGCACUCCGCC